rnacentral:tRNA from 1 species
GUUCCCGUAGCUCAGUGGUUAGAGCGCGCGGCUGUUAACCGUGAGGUCGCAGGUUCGAAUCCUGUCGGGGACG